rnacentral:rRNA from 1 species
AAGGAAUAUUGGUCAAUGGACGCAAGUCUGAACCAGCCAUGCCGCGUGAAGGAUGAAGGUCCUCUGGAUUGUAAACUUCUUUUAUCUGGUACGAAAACGGGAUUUUUAUCUCAAUUGACGGUACCAGAGGAAUAAGCACCGGCUAACUCCGUGCCAGCAGCCGCGGUAAUACGGAGGGUGCGAGCGUUAUCCGGAUUUACUGGGUUUAAAGGGUGCGUAGGUGGGCUUAUAAGUCAGUGGUGAAAUCUCCGAGCUUAGCUUGGAAACUGCCGUUGAUACUAUAGGUCUUGAAUUAUCUGGAGGUAAGCGGAAUAUGUCAUGUUGCGGUCAAAUGCUUAGAUAUGACAUAGAACACCAAUUGCGAAGGCAGCUUACUACACAAUCAUUGACACUGAGGCACGAAAGCGUGGGUAGCGAACA